rnacentral:rRNA from 1 species
CUGCGGCGGAUUAGCUAGUUGGUGGGGUAACGGCCUACCAAGGCGAUGAUCCGUAGGGGGCGUGAGAGCGUGGCCCCCCACACUGGCACUGAGACACGGGCCAGACUCCUACGGGAGGCAGCAGUGAGGAAUAUUGCACAAUGGGCGGAAGCCUGAUGCAGCAACGCCGCGUGCGGGACGAAGGCCUUCGGGUCGUAAACCGCUUUUCUGGGGAAAGAGCAAGGACGGUACCUCAGGAAUAAGUCUCGGCUAACUACGUGCCAGCAGCCGCGGUAAAACGUAGGAGGCGAGCGUUAUCCGGAUUUACUGGGCGUAAAGCGCACGCAGGCGGCUCCGUGAGUCGGACGUGAAAGCUCUCGGCUUAACCGGGAGAGGCCGUUCGAUACUGCGGGGCUUGAGGUAGGGAGAGGAAUGCGGAAUUCCCGGUGUAGUGGUGGAAUGCGUAGAUAUCGGGAGGAACACCUGUGGCGAAAGCGGCAUUCUGGCCCUCACCUGACGCUGAGGUGCGAAAGCGUGGGUAGCAAACAGGAUUAGAUACCCUGGUAGUCCACGCCGUAAACGAUGUCAACUGGGUGUCGGUAGUUUUACACUAGCGGUGCCGAAGCUAACGCG